UACGAAGGGGGCUAGCGUUGCUCGGAAUCACUGGGCGUAAAGGGUGCGUAGGCGGGUCUUUAAGUCAGGGGUGAAAUCCCGAGGCUUAACCUCGGAACUGCCUUUGAUACUGGCGACCUAGAGUCCGGAAGAGGUUAGUGGAAUUCCCAGUGUAGAGGUGAAAUUCGUAGAUAUUGGGAAGAACACCAGUGGCGAAGGCGGCUAACUGGUCCGGUACUGACGCUGAGGUGCGAAAGCGUGGGGAGCAAACAGG
rnacentral:rRNA from 1 species